AGUGAACGCUGGCGGUAGGCCUAACACAUGCAAGUCGAACGGCAGCACAGUAAGAUCUUGCUCUUACGGGUGGCGAGUGGCGGACGGGUGAGGAAUACAUCGGAAUCUACUUUUUCGUGGGGGAUAACGUAGGGAAACUUACGCUAAUACCUCAUACGACCUACGGGUGAAAGCAGUGGAUCUUCGGACCUUGCGCGAUUGAAUGAGCCGAUGUCGGAUUAGCUAGUUGGCGGGGUAAAGGCCCACCAAGGCGACGAUCCGUAGCUGGUCUGAGAGGAUGAUCAGCCACACUGGAACUGAGACACGGUCCAGACUCCUACGGGAGGCAGCAGUGGGGAAUAUUGGACAAUGGGCGCAAGCCUGAUCCAGCAAUACCGCGUGGGUGAAGAAGGCCUUCGGGUUGUAAAGCCCUUUUGUUGGGAAAGAAAAGCAGCAGGUUAAUACCCCGCUGUUCUGACGGUACCCAAAGAAUAAGCACCGGCUAACUUCGUG
rnacentral:rRNA from 1 species